GGGGGAUAUUGCACAAUGGAGGAAACUCUGAUGCAGCAACGCCGCGUGAGCGAUGAAGGCCUUCGGGUCGUAAAGCUCUGUUGUUAGGGAAGAACAAGUAUCGGAGUAACUGCCGGUACCUUGACGGUACCUAACCAGAAAGCCACGGCUAACUACGUGCCAGCAGCCGCGGUAAUACGUAGGUGGCAAGCGUUGUCCGGAAUUAUUGGGCGUAAAGCGCGCGCAGGCGGUCCUUUAAGUCUGAUGUGAAAGCCCACGGCUCAACCGUGGAGGGUCAUUGGAAACUGGGGGACUUGAGUGCAGAAGAGGAAAGCGGAAUUCCACGUGUAGCGGUGAAAUGCGUAGAGAUGUGGAGGAACACCAGUGGCGAAGGCGGCUUUCUGGUCUGUAACUGACGCUGAGGCGCGAAAGCGUGGGGAGCAAAC
rnacentral:rRNA from 1 species